rfam:Enterococcus ratti strain DSM 15687 Scaffold3, whole genome shotgun sequence.
AGAGUGUUAUGAUGUUGGAAGUUAACUCUUCCGAGUCUAGCUCAGCACUGCUCCUUAAAUUGAAAAAUUUGAGGAG